GGUGGGCAGCGCGGAAAUGGAGGUAUUGUACGACGGCAGCGGGAGAUUCCCGCCGUUUGCGCCACUGAGCGUCGAAUCCCUCUCCAACGUACUUUCGUACGGCAGCGCCAGGGUACCCCCUGUGGCGUUGCGCGGCCCGGCGGCAGCGGUGGCCAUUGCCGCCGGAGGUGGGGGUAGCCACUCGUAAUGAAUUUGGGUAAUUCACACGCGUACAUGCGCUUAAAGCGUUUCAUCGCCAACCUUAUCGCACAAGCUAUCACUGAUAUAGUGACUAAUCCUGCAUCAGGAUUGACACCUCACAUAUCAGGUCGUAUCGGCUAUGCCGCCGACAAAAUCACUCUACCAGUGCGGGCAGGUCCUUAGCAAGUUACAAGUUACAUGUUCCGCACACAAGUGCGGGUGUGUCCCUAAAAGCCGGGGGGGCCCAAUGGACGUUGUAUUGGUAUUGAUGCGGGUACGCGGGAGGCCAUCAUCAUCCUCCCUCGUUCGCUUCAGGGGGAGGCGCCUCAGCGCGACGUGCCUGGCCUCCCAAUAAUAUCGCAUAAUUGCACCCCAGACGUGACUUGUGUGUGGGGGGGGGGGGCUUAGGGUUUUAGGGUUUUAAGGUCACACGGCGCGGCGCGGCGAUGUGUGCGGGACAUACAUCAGCACGCACGUGCAGGUACACACAAGGAGGGACACAUGGAGCAGCUUACCUUGAGGGUGCGAAGCCGCAGCCGCAGCCGCAGCCGUCGUCGUGCUUGCUGCUGCUGUAGGCGCCGCGGCUGUUGCCAGUGAUGGGCCCACGCCACCAGCGGUGCUGCUAGGACCAGCAGCACCGCUGGCGCCAAAUCGGAAGGGAAAGCUCGGAAAUAACGCCGGCUGCUGCUGCUGCUGCCCUGCCACCGGCCCUGGUGCCGCCGCACCCGGGUUCCCUCCGCCUCCCCCUCCCAGGAAUGAGAAGGGUGGAAACAACGUUGAUGAGGGCGAGGAUGAGGACGGCACGAGGGGCGCUGUGGCUGUGGAGGGCCCCGGGGGGGCGCCGGUAGCCGUGGCCGGUCGCGCAGCCUCCCUCUGCGCUCCCCACCCACCUCCGAAGGACGACCCAAACCAUGAUCCCGAAGACGAUCCAGCGCCACCAGCGCCACCAGCACCACUGGCAGUAGCAGGCCUCGUAGUGGCUGUAGCACCUGUACUACCCGUACCUGCGCCAGCAAAGGCAGCGGCUGCGGCGGCUGCAGCGGCUGCAAACGUAGCGGGCACCAAGUUGGCGUCUCCCGCGUUGCGAACACGCGCCUGUCUGUCCUCCCAUCUGAGCUCCUCGUGGGACCUGGCGGCGGAGGGGAUAACCUGGUAAGGAGGCAUGGCGGAUAUGGAGACGAUGGAAGUGGCUGUUUCUUCUUCCCGGAUAGGGCGUCCUGGAGUACGUGAUGAACCGCGUGCCAGCACCGCCGGGGGUGGCGACGGGGUUGAAGGGCGGCGUGGAGGCGGUGUAGUCCGGCGGCCGAGAGCUUCCAGGGCUCGGGAAGGGGGAGGAGGAGGAGGGGAAGGAGGAGGAGGGGGAGGAGGAGGAGAGGGCGAAAGGGAGGGAGGAGAAGGCGCGGGUUCCUGCGAAGGCAGCGGACGCAAUAGGGGGAUUCAAGGACCGGGCAGACAGACAGACAAACAAGCAGACAAAGACAGAUAAACAAACAGACAGACAGGCAGGCAUGUGAGCGGUUCCGCCCCGCCUACCUCCAAACGCAAAGGCGGGCUGUCGCGGCACGGCUGUUCCCCACGGGUUGCUCGAGUGCGGAUCCGCGACUUGCCCGCGCGGGAUCGACCCUGCCGCGGCAGCCCCUCCUGCUUGGGGCCCAGCCGGCGGCGACGGCGGUGGUGCCGCCGCUACAGCCGCUGCCGCCGCUGGCUGCUGCGGCGGUGCUGCCGCUACAGCCGCAGCUGGCUGCAGCGGCGGUGCUGCCGCUACAGCCGCAGCUGGCUGCAGCGGCGGUGCUGCCGCUACAGCCGCAGCUGGCUGCAGCGGCGGUGCUGCCGCUACAGCCGCAGCUGGCUGCAGCGGCGGUGCUGCCGCUACAGCCGCAGCUGGCUGCAGCGGCGGUACUGCCGCUACAGCCGCAGCUGGCUGCAGCGGCGGUGCUGCCGCUACAGCCGCAGCUGGCUGCAGCGGCGAUGCUGCCGCUACAGCCGCAGCCGCUGCUGGCUGUGGUAGCUGGGCAGGUAAUCUGCUCCUUACUCCCUCCUGCCUGUCCUCCCAUUCGGAUCCCGGCUGGAAGGUGGGCAGCGCGGAAAUGGAGGUAUUGUACGACGGCAGCGGGAGAUUCCCGCCGUUUGCGCCACUGAGCGUCGAAUCCCUCUCCAACGUACUUUCGUACGGCAGCGCCANNNNNNNNNNNNNNNNNNNNNNNNNNNNNNNNNNNNNNNNNNNNNNNNNNNNNNNNNNNNNNNNNNNNNNNNNNNNNNNNNNNNNNNNNNNNNNNNNNNNNNNNNNNNNNNNNNUGGGGGGGGGGGGGCUUAGGGUUUUAGGGUUUUAAGGUCACACGGCGCGGCGCGCCGAUGUGUGCGGGACAUACAUCAGCACGCACGUGCAGGUACACACAAGGAGGGACACAUGGAGCAGCUUACCUCGAGGGUGCGAAGCCGCAGCCGCAGCCGCAGCCGUCGUCGUGCUUGCUGCUGCUGUAGGCGCCGCAGCUGUUGCCAGUGAUGGACCCACGCCACCAGCGGUGCUGCUAGGACCAGCAGCACCGCUGGCGCCAAAUCGGAAGGGAAAGCUCGGAAAUAACGCCGACUGCUGCCGCUGCUGCUGCUGCUGCUGCCCUGCCACCGGCCCUGGUGCCGCCGCACCCGGGUUCCCUCCGCCUCCCCCUCCCCCUCCCCCUCCCCCUCC
rnacentral:lncRNA from 1 species